rnacentral:lncRNA from 1 species
AUGAGAUUCAUGGCUCUUCUCUUCCUGGCGGCUCUGGCUGGGGCCCUGGUCUGUGCCCAAGAUGCCUCUGUGACCCGUGCUGAACCUGGUGCGGGGAUCACAGCUCCAGUGGAAUCUGCUUCACCCCAAGAGACGGCAGCAGGAGACGGGUUCGCCCCAGGGGAACAACUAAAACCCCUGAAAGACUUAGCAGAGAGAAGACUCUUGAAAGCAAGGCGUACCCUUGAAGAAGCAAGAAAAGGAGCGCGGGAAGGAAUUGAAGGUGGAAAAAAACUCUUCGAAGACUCCCCUGGAGCCUGCCCCCAGCGCCCACUGCAGAGCUCACUUGCUUCUGUUUCUCUUCCUCUCACCCUUGCCCACGUGGGGGAAGAACGCAGGUCCUUCGGCUUCUUGGACUGUAACCUCCAUCCCUCUGACUUCUGUGUGAGGCCCGCCAGGGGCUCUGUGAGGUGGAACUGAACUUUUAAGAAAACUGAGGGACAAAUUCAUUCCAAUUAAGCCCUAAGAACCUGAAAAGAAUGGGGUCUCUGGACUUAUCGCCUUAAACUUGCUUGCAGCUCAGAACAAUUAAACUGAAGCAUCCAACUUGCCGUGCGCUGUGCUCUGUGGGGUGGGCCCUGCAGGAGGGGUAGAAAAGCCCACCUGGAGUGCCGUGAGGCACCGGGUGUCCUGUCCUAGGCCUCGGCCACUUCAGC